rnacentral:rRNA from 1 species
GAGUUGUAAUUUGCAGAGGAUGCUUCGGGUACAGCGUCGGUCUAAGUUCCUUGGAACAGGACGUCUUAGAGGGUGAGAAUCCCGUACGCGACCGACCGCCACGCCCAUGUGAAGCUCCUUCGACGAGUCGAGUUGUUUGGGAAUGCAUCUCAAAAUGGGUGGUAAAUUCCAUCUAAAGCUAAAUAUUGGCCAGAGACCGAUAGCGCACAAGUAGAGUGAUCGAAAGAUGAAAAGCACUUUGGAAAGAGAGUUAAACAGUACGUGAAAUUGUUGAAAGGGAAGCGCUUGCGACCAGACUUGCCCGCGGGUGAUCAACCGGUGUUCUCACCGGUGCACUCGCCCGUGGUCAGGCCAGCAUCGGUUCAGGCGGCCGGACAAAGGCCCUCGGAAUGUAGCUCCCUCCGGGGAGUGUUAUAGCCGGGGGUGCAAUGCGGCCCGCCUGGACCGAGGACCGCGCUUCGUGCUAGGAUGCUGGCGUAAUGGUCGUAAGCGACCCGUCUUGAAACACGGACCAAGGAGUCUAACAUCUAUGCGAGUGUUCGGGUGUCAAACCCGUGCGCGUAAUGAAAGUGAACGGAGGUGGGAACCUGUAACAGGGCGCACCAUCGACCGAUCCUGAUGUCUUCGGAUGGAUUUGAGUAAGAGCAUAGCUGUUGGGACCCGAAAGAUGGUGAACUAUGCCUGAAUAGGGUGAAGCCAGAGGAAACUCUGGUGGAGGCUCGCAGCGGUUCUGACGUGCAAAUCGAUCGUCAAAUUUGGGUAUA